GCACCCUUAGCUCAGCUGGAUAGAGUAUCUGACUUCGAAUCAGAGGGUCGCAAGUUCGAAUCUUGCAGGGUGUACCA
rnacentral:tRNA from 1 species